rnacentral:rRNA from 1 species
GACGAACGCUGGCGGCGUGCCUAAUACAUGCAAGUUGAGCGAAGCGGCGGAGGGGUGAGUAACGCGUGGGUAACCUGCACUUAAGUCUGGGAUACCAAUUGGCAACAGAUGCUAAUAACGGAUACUAAAGGAUGGACCUGCGAUGCAUUAGCUAGUUGGUAAGGUAACGGCUUACCAAGGCGAUGAUGCAUAGCCGAGUUGAGAGACAGAUCGGCCACAUUGGGACUGAGACACGGCCCAAACUCCUACGGGAGGCAGCAGGAGGGAAUCUUCCACAAUGGACGAAAGUCUGAUGGAGCAACGCCGCGUGAGUGAAGAAGGUUUUCGGAUCGUAAAGCUCUGUUGUUGGUGAAGCGGUAAUCAACCAGAAAGUCACGGCUAACUACGUGCCAGCAGCCGCGGUAAUUC